rnacentral:piRNA from 1 species
UAGGAAGAAGUAGAAGGAAUGUACAUG